ACAACGGCUCUUUUAAGAGCCAAACACGUCUCUCUUUCAAAGCAUC
rfam:Oryzias latipes DNA, chromosome1, strain: Hd-rR.